rnacentral:lncRNA from 1 species
CAAAGCUGUAUUUGAAGUCCAGUUUCAUCUGCACUCUGCAGACGGGACCUUUCUGUGACAUGAAACAUUCCUGCAUACUACUUAAAAUACCCUUUUUGUGCAGUAUUCAAGUUAGGUUGCUAAUUUCUCUUCGAUUCCCACCUCUAUAGGUCUCUGCUGGCUUCUUAGCCUUGCAGGCUGUCAGAGAAAGGAGAAAGCAAAAGAAAACCGGUGCCUGGAGUGUGCCCCAAGGGACAAUGAGAGAUGCUAAGCUGGAGGACAGCUGGUCACCAGGGACUGUCACUCAGUGCUGAUCACUGAGCAACUUCACCUGCAGUGGAUAGCAGCUGAGCUGUUUUCUUUUGGGAACCCACAUGGAACCUAUGAGACGUUGUUGGGUAGUAGUCAGAUCCAAAAGCACCUCCAGCAUGGCAUCUUCAGCCUGGCAGAGUUUGAGCAGCAGAGAGAGCUGAGAGAUAGAGCAGGGGGGAGAAGCAAAUAGAAGCAGUCCUCAGCUCUUACAGUGACUGGAAAUAAGCUGGG